GUAACACGUAAAGAACCUGCCCUCAGGUCUGGGAUAACCACGAGAAAUCGGGGCUAAUACCGGAUGGGUCAUCGGACCGCAUGGUCCGAGGAUGAAAGGCGCUUCGGCGUCGCCUGGGGAUGGCUUUGCGGUGCAUUAGCUAGUUGGUGGGGUAAUGGCCCACCAAGGCGACGAUGCAUAGCCGACCUGAGAGGGUGAUCGGCCACACUGGGACUGAGACACGGCCCAGACUCCUACGGGAGGCAGCAGUAGGGGAUCUUCCACAAUGGACGAAAGUCUGAUGGAGCAACGCCGCGUGGACGAUGAAGGCCUUCGGGUCGUAAAGUUCUGUUGUAAGGGAAGAACAAGUGCCGCAGGCAAUGGCGGCACCUUGACGGUACCUUGCGAGAAAGCCACGGCUAACUACGUGCCAGCAGCCGCGGUAAUACGUAGGUGGCAAGCGUUGUCCGGAAUUAUUGGGCGUAAAGCGCGCGCAGGCGGCCUCUUAAGUCUGAUGUGUAAGCCCCCGGCUCAACCGGGGAGGGCCAUUGGAAACUGGGAGGCUUGAGUAUAGGAGAGAAGAGUGGAAUUCCACGUGUAGCGGUGAAAUGCGUAGAGAUGUGGAGGAACACCAGUGGCGAAGGCGACUCUUUGGCCUAUAACUGACGCUGAGGCG
rnacentral:rRNA from 1 species